rnacentral:rRNA from 1 species
GCUCAGGACGAACGCUGGCGGCGUGCCUAAUACAUGCAAGUCGAGCGGACUGAUGGGGAGCUUGCUCCCCUGACGUCAGCGGCGGACGGGUGAGUAACACGUGGGCAACCUGCCUCACAGAUUGGGAUAACUCCGGGAAACCGGGGCUAAUACCGAAUAAUCAAAGGAACCGCAUGGUUCCCUUGUAAAAGUUGGGUUUUACCUAACACUGUGAGAUGGGCCCGCGGCGCAUUAGCUAGUUGGUGAGGUAGUGGCUCACCAAGGCGACGAUGCGUAGCCGACCUGAGAGGGUGAUCGGCCACACUGGGACUGAGACACGGCCCAGACUCCUACGGGAGGCAGCAGUAGGGAAUCAUCCGCAAUGGACGAAAGUCUGACGGUGCAACGCCGCGUGAGUGAUGACGGUCUUCGGAUUGUAAAGCUCUGUUGUUAGGGAAGAACAAGUGCCGUUCAAAUAGGGCGGC